AUUUCACAAGAAAACCAUCUGUAGGUGUUUAUUCAUUAUAUUAUUUUGUGUUGUGAAUAGAUUCCGUUGUAACAUUUUAUUGGAAUUUCGUCAAUUUGAUCAUAUACUCAAAUAAUGAUUGCUACACAAAAGUACACAUGGACGGAUGAACAAUAUGCAACUAUUUUAGAACAUCAGGCUUUUCAUACGAAUAUGACUACUUUUUUAAACAAGGUUGUGAUGGAAGGACCAACAAAGACGUUUCCGAGGAAACCAAAGAGUAAUUUAAAACAAGUAAUCAUGACAAAGAAAACAAAGGGAGUACAAAAACAAAGUCAUGAACAACUUCAUGCAUAAUUAGUUGAAAACUUUAUAGAUGCAAAGAAGACGAUAGACAGAGAUGUGUUUCUGUUUAAACUUGAGGGCAUUACCACUGAAGAACAAG
rnacentral:lncRNA from 1 species